AGUGAACGCUGGCGGUAGGCCUAACACAUGCAAGUCGAACGGCAGCACAGUAAGAGCUUGCUCUUACGGGUGGCGAGUGGCGGACGGGUGAGGAAUACAUCGGAAUCUACUUUUUCGUGGGGGAUAACGUAGGGAAACUUACGCUAAUACCGCAUACGACCUACGGGUGAAAGCAGGGGAUCUUCGGACCUUGCGCGAUUGAAUGAGCCGAUGUCGGAUUAGCUAGUUGGCGGGGUAAAGGCCCACCAAGGCGACGAUCCGUAGCUGGUCUGAGAGGAUGAUCAGCCACACUGGAACUGAGACACGGUCCAGACUCCUAGGGGAGACAGCAGUGGGGAAUAUUGGACAAUGGGCGCAAGCCUGAUCCAGCCAUACCGCGUGGGUGAAGAAGGCCUUCGGGUUGUAAAGCCCUUUUGUUGGGAAAGAAAAGCAGCAGGUUAAUACCCCGCUGUUCUGACGGUACCCAAAGAAUAAGCACCGGCUAACUUCGUG
rnacentral:rRNA from 1 species